rnacentral:lncRNA from 1 species
AAAAUAAAAGCAAAAAAAAAAAAAGCAAUCCUUAUUCUCACUGAGGGGAAAGGCACAUACCCAAAGGGUUCCAGUGCCUGGUAGCAAAGCCCAGGGCUAUGAGAGAAGUUCAGUGUGUGAGAAUCCAAGAGACAUCUGUACUCAGGGAACUGAAACAACUUCACAGCUGAGUUGCUGUUUGAACUGCCUCCUUAAGAGCAGAUAUAAUCUUAACAGAUUGAGCAUGCUGAAGGGACAGAAUACCAUUUCUGAGUUGGGAUCAACCCCCCCAGCGAUGCCUCCUUACUUUGCAUUUUCAUUAAAACCAUACACGGCUGACCUGUUUUUCACAGGAGUGGGUUGAUCCCUAGAUUCACUCCUUAGGAUCACAUCUCCAUGAAGUGCUGGAGAUCUGACCUACGGUGGUGAGGCUGCGAAAAGGAAUAUGUCCAUGGAUGAGAGACAGUGAUUCAAAAACGUGACAGGGCCUAAAGAAAAUCAAGACGAACUGUGGCCUCCAAGCCCGGGUAGUUUAGAGACUGAUCUUGUUGGAGGGAGGAGAUAAGCUCUGUUUUGGACAUAAUGCAGCAUUGACAUACAAGGAGAAGUAGGUGAAGGUAGCUGGAAGUAGAGGUUUGGGAUUAAAUAGCAAGAGGUGACCUCCUUUAAAGUGUGUUCAGGAGUUCCCGCUGUGGCUCAGUGGGUUGAGAACCUGACUGGUAUCCAUAAGGAUGCGGGUUCAAUCCCUGACCUCGCUCAGUGGGUUAAGGAUCAGGGGUUGCCAUGAGCUAUGGUGUAGGUCGCAGAUGCAGCUCAGAUCCCACGUUGCUGUGACUGUGGUGUGGGUUAGCAGCUGCACCUCUGAUUCAACCCCUGGCCUGGGAAUUUCCAUAUGCCGCAGUUGAGGCCCUAAAAAAUAGUAAAAGUGUGUUCAUUUACAUGCACAAAAUGAUUUAAAAAGUUUUUCCUCACCUGAGAGAAAGUCAAGAAGGUCAGUUCAUCCAGCAGUUCAAUAAUGUCAUCAAAGGCCCGUAUCACUCAUGGCAGGCUGUUUGGCUAUGACAAGGCUGGCUGAUCCUAAGACUGGUUACUGCCACGGCUCUAAGACAGCCUCCGUGCUUCUUUGUUGAUCGUCACUGGAAGAGAUGCAGGCCUCUCGUUGCUCCUAAGUGUAUAGGGGAACAUUCCCAGAGGCCUUUAGUAAACCCCUCACUUCUCAUUGGCCAGGCUUGGGUUAUUUGCCCAUGUUGGAGCCCAACUUCCCCAUUAUGCUAUGGAGGACUAAUGGGAGUUUGGUGGAAUAGAUGCUGGGGAGCUAAAAAAGAUAUGCACCAAAGUUGGUUUCAUGAAUUCUCUUAAAAAUGGAAUCCUUGCUUGAUGUGAGACCCUGUCUUUCAAAAUUAAAACAGUGCAAGUCGGCGAGCUUCUUAAAGAAUAACAGGAGUUCGCUUUGGGGCUCAGUGGGUUAAGAACCCAACAUAGGAUCUAUGGAUGCAAGUUUGAUCCCUGGCCUCACUCAGUGGGUUAAGUUCUGGCAAGCUGUGGUGUAGGUCACAGAUGCACCUUGGAUUUGGCAUUGCUGUGGUUGUGGUGUGGGUGGGCAGCUGCAGCUCCGAUUCGACCCCUAGCCCGGAAAUUUACAUUUGCCACAGGUGCGGCCCUGAAAAGAAAACCGAAAGAAUAAUGGAGAGAAAACAGGAGAGGGGACAAGCGUAAUCCCACCAAGGCUUCAGUGAGGGAGAACUCGCAGGAGAAAACUUGGUCCGUUCAAGCAAAUAUAAAAGAACAGCUCACGGCGGUGAUGAAGUGAAACCUGAUAACGCAGAUAAUCUGUGAAUACUUGGCAAAUAUAAAGUGUGAAAAAUAGUCUCAUGCUUUUUCUGGUUUCUUAUAUAAAAAUUAAUGAAAGGGAAACAUGAGUUAUUUGCUCAUCUUCUGAGUAAACUUUAGAUUGUGGCUUUUAUGUGCCGUAAUCUCAUAAUAUUGUUUAAUAUCUCUAGUUGACCCAGCGAUACCCUUGUUGAUUCUGUUGGAUGAUCCUGUGUGACGCUUUUUAAUGCCUACACUGUAAAGACCCUCAAAGUGCUUCAGGGAGAGUAGUUUUCAUCACAAAGUUUAGAACAAUCCUGUGAAAGAUUAUCAAACUUCCUUGCUGCUAAAAUUAGACCAGAAAAAAAAAAUAGAAUUUAUUUAAAAUUCCACAGGAAAGAAUUAGCAGAAUCAAGAAAAGAACGUAGCAGUGCUUUCUAGGUUUCACUCAGGCUUUGAAGUUGCCUAUUUUUGUGUGCUGCUUGCCAUUACUUCUAAACUUUGUUAUUUUUGGUAGCUAGGUGCUUUAUUAGAUCUAUAAUGAAUUCAAUGUCACAGACUUGAAUGGGAGGCAUUGAUCUGCGUGUUUCCAUUUCAGGCUAAAUAGAGUUCCUCUUACUGUCAGAAGCUCAUUUGCCCUUUCAACCUGCUCCAGGGUAGCAGGAAAACAUCCAUUAGAGAGGGCCGAGAGAACUCCCAGGUCAAGUUUGCAAGUCCUGUGUGUUCUUAAAUCCAUUUCUCCCUCGAAAUCAGACCAGCUUCCUGGGAUCCCUUAGUUGUAAAAUGCUGACUUUGUGUCACUCUCAAGUUCAGAUGCAUAAUGAGAUUUAGGGUGUCCAUGUUGCCUUCAUCCUGAAUACAUUUAAGUUCAAGUGUCAGGAACAUAGCUCACGCUGAAGAGGAAGCCAGAUGAACACGGAGAGAGAAGACAGGAAAGAGUCCCUCCCAGGACCUGAGAUCACGUGAACAAGUGUUCAUCGCGUAUUCACUAUGCGGGUUAUUAGGGACAUAGUAGCAAGCAUGACAUCUUCAUACUCUAAAAUAACUGUUCAGCUAUGAAAAUUAGCAUUUUUAUAAUGAAAAUUAUAAUUUACCAAUAAUAUUUGCUUAGAGCCCCAUUCCGUCUGAAAGCAGAAGACCCAAACCUAGUCUUGUCUGUUGCUUCUCUCCAUCUUUUUCAGAUUGCAGUCCAACCAAAGCAGGAUUUUCCCUAUCCCCUCUUCUCUUCCAUGAUUGGCAUCUCACUUUGGCUUUGCUUCCGUGGUGAAGAGGUGUGUCUCCAUGCUGGGCCUGUGGAAGAACCUUAUUCUCCCUGGUUUCUAUGCCAGUGGUCACUGCGACAUCUGUUGUCCUGUCUGCACUUUCUACUUCAUGAGGGCAUCCACUGGGGUGUCCACUUUCCCAUGGGGUUGAUGGCUGGAAGGUCCAUGCAGCAGCACAGCCUACCUUGCGUUCAGCGUCAGCCUUCAUCUCAAACAGGCACCUCCUUCAGGUCACAGGGCUGCUCUGUCAGCCAAAGGUCCUUGCUACCCCUAGAUCCUGAAUCACACUGGCAGAGGCCCAUUUUCUUUCUUUCUUUUUUUUUUUUUUUUUUUUGUCCUUUCUAGAGCUGCUCCCACGGCAUAUGGAGGUUCCCAGGCUAGGGGUCUCAUUGGAGCUGCAGCCACCGGCCUACGCCAGAGCCACAGCAACGCAGGAUCCGAGCCGCGUCUGCAACCUACACCACAGCUCACGGCAACACCGGAUGCUUAACCCACUGAGCAAGGUCAGGGAUCGAAGCCGCAACCUCAUGGUUCCUAGUUGGAUUCAUUAACCACUGAGCCACGAUGGGAACUCCAAAGGCCCAUUUUCAUAUAAGGUAACAUACAGCUUGCAGAGAUUAGGAUGGGGCCAUCGCUGGCAUACCACAAUCACGUUGAUACUUACCCACUAAAACCAGGAAUUACUAUUCCCCCCUUGUGCCUCUGUUUAUUUUUAUUUUUUAUUUUUUUAUUUUUUUGUCUUUUUUGUUGUUGUUGUUGUUGUUGUUGUUGUUGCUAUUUCUUGGGCCGCUCCCGCGGC